UCCCUGGUGGUUCAGUGGUUGAGAUUCUGCACUUCUACUGCAGGGGCCCCAGGUUCAAUCCCUGGUCGGGGAA